GAGAGACUGCCGUCGACAAGACGGAGGAGGCGGGGAUGACGUCAAAUCAUCAUGCCCCUUAUGACCUGGGCUACACACGUGCUACAAUGGUUGGUACAACGGGAUGCUACCUCGCGAGGGGACGCCAAUCUCUGAAAACCAAUCUCAGUUCGGAUUGUAGGCUGCAACUCGCCUACAUGAAGUCGGAAUCGCUAGUAAUCGCGGAUCAGCAUGCCGCGGUGAAUACGUUCCCGGGCCUUGUACACACCGCCCGUCACACCACGGGAGUUUGCAACACCCGAAGUCGGUGAGGUAACCGCAAGGAGCCAGCCGCCGAAGGUGGGGUAGAUGACUGGGGUGA
rnacentral:rRNA from 1 species